rnacentral:snoRNA from 1 species
AAGCAAAGGAUAAAAAAUAAAAUAUCCUUAGGCAUGAUUCUGGCUGUCUUGGACACCUGUAUGCCACUUGCCAAUGCAAGAAUUUGUCAUAAUUAUACUGACUGCAU